rnacentral:tRNA from 1 species
GGUUGUAUAGUGUAGCGGUUAUCACAUCGGAUUCUGAUUCAGCAUCUGCUUGGUCCUUCCGGUAACCCCGGUUCGAUUCCGGGUACGACCU